AUAGUACUCCCUCCGUCCGGAAAUAAUUGUCAUCAAAAUGGACAAAAAGAAAUGUAUCUAGAUACAUACAUUUUUGUCCAUUUUGAUGACAAGUAUUUCCGGACGGAGGGAGUAGUUG
rnacentral:pre_miRNA from 1 species